GUCAAGUCAUCAUGGCCUUUAUGGCCAGGGCUACACACGUGCUACAAUGGUAGGUACAGAGGGAAGCCAACCGGCGACGGGGAGCCAAUCCCAGAAAACCUAUCGUAGUCCGGAUUGGAGUCUGCAACUCGACUCCAUGAAGUCGGAAUCGCUAGUAAUCGCGGAUCAGCAAAGCCGCGGUGAAUACGUUCUCGGGGAUU
rnacentral:rRNA from 1 species